UACGAAGGGUGCAAGCGUUAAUCGGAAUUACUGGGGGUAAAGGGUGCGUAGGCGGUUGUUUAAGUCUGUCGUGAAAUCCCCGGGCUCAACCUGGGAAUGGCGAUGGAUACUGGGCAGCUAGAGUGUGUCAGAGGAUGGUGGAAUUCCCGGUGUAGCGGUGAAAUGCGUAGAGAUCGGGAGGAACAUCAGUGGCGAAGGCGGCCAUCUGGGACAACACUGACGCUGAAGCACGAAAGCGUGGGGAGCAAACAGG
rnacentral:rRNA from 1 species